rnacentral:ncRNA from 1 species
CUACGGACUUAAAAAGUUGAGCCUUGCUGAAGAAAUUCUUCAAGUGGAUGCUCUCAAACUCAGGGAAACCUAAAUCUUGUAGAAGACAUGGCAAUCCUGAGCCAAGCCGAAUGAUUACGUUAAUCUAUUAUGUUUAACAGUUCGGAAGGUGCAGAGACUCGACGGGAGCUACCCUAACGUAAUAGCAGAUAAUUAUUUGAUUAUUUGUUAAGUCGAGGGUGAAGGGAGAGUCCAAUUCUCAAAGCCUUAAUAAUUGAGAU